AGCCAAACCCGUCACGAUCUUAACCCCAAUCUGAAAACUUUUGGGCUUAAUCUCAGGUGGUUUCCAUUCUCUCACAACCGUCUCGUUCUUUUCUUCCACGGAACUUUCAGAUGACAAGGAAAAGACAGGCUCGCCCAACUCAGUAUCCUCCACGGAGUCCUUCUCUUCGCCGCUCCCCGGUGAAAAAUUGUUCAUCCCUUUUGGAACCAAAGUUUGCUCCUUUUGAGGCCUGGGUUCAGGUUGGUGUGAGGAAACAGUCGGUAUGGCUCGCGUAUAAGGAGAAAGCCACUUAGCUUUGACAUACUCGGCUUUUCUCCACGGUGGAAUAUGCAUGCCCUUCUUCUUGAGGCUCUGCCUCGCUGCAUUUGAUACGACAGAUACGAUCUUCUGGAGGCGAUCGGCUUUCCCCACAAAGAUGUGGGGUAGAGAUUGGAGGAGAGAUUUGUAGGCCUUGGUUGAUCGAGCAAUUUCAAAUUCUGAUCUGAAAUCAAUGUCAAUUAGCAGUCUCUCGCCUGAGACGAUCACGUCUAUGUAUUCAUAUUCACCGGCGGGAUGGGUGGGGGAUUUUUCCCAACGAGAUUUGCAGAUUGAAGCGUCGUAUCCAAUAGCCAACAAUCCAUCAGUAACGAUCCUCCUGCAAAAAUCGUCUUUGCGCUUGCAGAUCUUGUUCUUGUCAACGAUCCUCGCAGUGUCUGCUAGCAAAUUUCUCUCAGUAACACUUGCACAGGGGACCAAACUCUUUAGAAUUUCAAUUCCUUCGCCAGAUGAAACAAAAUUAGAGUCGCCAAAAUCAACAAAGCCAUCGAAUUCGUCUUCCAAGCUGUCAUUACAAUUCCCGUUGAAGCAGUUGCAGCGAUUGCGGCCACACCUCACCGCGGCGGAUGAUUGCUUAUCGUUGCUCUCCUCUAUGAAGUUUUGUACCAUCUUCGCCAAGCACAAUGAGCUCGGCUCAAACUCAGUGGAGCCAUUAGCGCCAUCCUUGUGGAAAUGCGACUCAUCAACAACGCCGACUUUUUCAGCGGCGGAAUUUCUCAGGAAUUGAAGCUCAAAGAGUCGCUUGAGACGCGAUUUCACCACUGGCUUUACCGGCUCCAACCUAGUUAGCUCUUCAGAUGGGUAUGAAUCGAUUGGCUGGAUCUUCAUUUGAAAAGGCAUGAUCAGCUUGAUCAAGAUUCAACAACACGACAAACGCUUCAGCCUUCGCCCCACCAACAAUAUCAACAGGGUAUUAUCAAAUUUUCUCCUCCGAUAUUAUAUACUAUUUUGCCUCCGAUAUACAAGACAAAGCUUGGAAUAACUUCUAAACUCUGCUCAGUAACGUCGCUUUUGCUUAGGGUUUCUACAAACGGUUAAAGUUCCGAUAUACGCGACGGCACGAUAACGUCACGCUUUCAUUUCCGUAAUUUAAACCACAAUCUGUCACCGGGAGCUCCAUUUUUCUGGCUGCUUGCUUCAAUUUUCCGGCGACGUUGUGGCCGGUAACGGGUAAGAAAAGUGAAAACCAGUGAGAGAUGGCAAUUUGGCUUUUGGGUAUGAGAGGAGUGAGGAC
rnacentral:misc_RNA from 1 species